UAUACAAGGUUUGUUAUGGCAAAAGAUUAGGUGAUCAUACUAAUUUUAAUGUGAUAAACAGAUGAUGUGCAUUUAAAGAAGUCAAGAAAUGCAAUGAAGCGAGUUGGUCUGAAGACAAAGAAUGUUCAGCUGGCCAAAACUCCCAGAUACCAUGUAGUCAAGAGUCCACUUAUUCAGAAAGCUCUGUGUGUCAAAACAUCUGGUGACUGUCUGGAUGAUAACAAUGAAAGCCCUGAUGACAGUUAUUUAAACUCAAGCCAGCCCAACCCAGUAUUCUUAGGGAAGGAACCAAAGGAAACAAAAUGCAAAGUCACCAUGGAGAAAUUGUUUGAUCUGAAUACUAAGAUACUCCAACAAAUUCAAAUGCUGGAACAGAGACAAGCUGUCAUCAUGAAUGACUUGGCAAAAGUUAAGUCUGUUCUCAUGAAGCGGGCAGAAGAAGAUGCCCAUUAGGAACAGAACACCCGACCAGUUAUCUGACAGCAGCACUUAUUUAAUUCCAUACCCAACCCGACCCAUUUGACAUUAAGACCGUGACCUGAGUCGCACAUGCAUUAAAUCUACCAUAUCAGGCUGGAAAAUUAAAUAAAGACCUUUUACGUUAAUUUGAUACUUUCA
ensembl:lncRNA